UGGUUGAGAAAUUUCAUGAUGAUUUGACUAUGGGAGGACACCCAGGUCAAAAACGUUUAUUAGCUAAGUUGAGACAAUAUUAUUUAUGGAAGGGAAUGUCACGCGAUGUAGCUCGAUAUGUAAAACAGUGUGAAAAAUGUUUAUUGAACAAAAUCAAAUAUUUGGGGUCGUCAGCAUUUUCGCCAAUAACAGUAAAUUCCACCGAUAACAGUAACACUAACAGUAAUGACCGUCACCAAAAAAUCGUCAAUUGUGAAUGCAUCUGAAUGGUUGAAUGAAUUUUCUAUUUAUUUUGUGAUAAUUAUUUAAAGAAUGGGGUUGGACCACUAUUUUAUUAUUGCAACAUGUAAAACUGAUCAUUGGGAAACUAGCGACAUUGAGCUGGAAAAAAUCAAUUCAGUAUAUAACGAAAGAUUGAGCGACCAACAUCCAUCAUUGCACAACAAACACAUGGUUAACCUGCAAAUUGAACAUUACAAAUUUAUUUUGUGAUUAAUGCUCUGAAAACUGGAUCGGAUCAAAAUUUUAUUCAUGAAAUUCGUCAAUCUCGUUUUUAGGAAGCUAGCGACAUUGAGCUGGACAAGUUCUCAACACUUUAAAAUGCGAUAUUUAACAACAAAUAUCACCCCAAAAAUACGCCGAUGUUUUUGAACCGCAGUUGGAAAAUGUUUUUUUUAAUCAAAAAAUAUCGCAUUUUAAAGUGUUGAGAACUUGUCCAGCUCAAUGUCGCUAGCUUCCUAAAAACGAGAUUGACGAAUUUCAUGAAUAAAAUAUUGAUCCGAUCCAGUUUUCAGAGCAUUAAUCACAAAAUAAAUUUGUAAUGUUCAAUUUGCAGGUUAACCAUGUGUUUGUUGUGCAAUGAUGGAUGUUGGUCGCUCAAUCUUUCGUUA